CAACAGGGAUUGCCCUAGUAACGGCGAGUGAAGCGGCAACAGCUCAAAUUUGAAAUCUGGCUCUUUCAGAGUCCGAGUUGUAAUUUGCAGAGGGUGCUUUGGUGGUAGUUGCGGUCUAAGUUCUUUGGAACAGGACGUCACAGAGGGUGAGAAUCCCGUAUGUGGUCGCUACUUAUCACCGUGUAAAGCCCCUUCGACGAGUCGAGUUGUUUGGGAAUGCAGCUCUAAAUGGGAGGUAAAUUUCUUCUAAAGCUAAAUACUGGCCAGAGACCGAUAGCGCACAAGUAGAGUGAUCGAAAGAUGAAAAGCACUUUGGAAAGAGAGUCAAAUAGCACGUGAAAUUGUUGAAAGGGAAGCGCUUGCAGCCAGACUUGCCUGUAGUUGCUUACCUAGACUUUUGUCUGGGGUACUCUUCUGCAGGCAGGCCAGCAUCAGUUUGGGCGGUUGGAUAAAGGUCUCUGUCACGUACCUCCUUUCGGGGAGGCCUUAUAGGGGAGACGUCAUACAACCAGCCUGGACUGAGGUCCGCGCAUCUGCUAGGAUGCUGGCGUAAUGGCUGUAAGCGGCCCGUCUUGAAACACGGACCAAGGAGUCUAACAUCUAUGCGAGUGUUUGGGUGUCAAGCCCAUACGCGUAAUGAAAGUGAACGGAGGUGGGAACCUUAGGGUGCACCAUCGACCGAUCCUGAUGUCUUCGGAUGGAUUUGAGUAAGAGCAUGGCUGUUGGGACCCGAAAGAUGGUGAACUAUGCUUGAAUAGGGUGAAGCCAGAGGAAACUCUGGUGGAGGCUCGCAGCGGUUCUGACGUGCAAAUCGAUCGUCAAAUUUGGGCAUAGGGGCGAAAGACUAAUCGAACU
rnacentral:rRNA from 1 species